rfam:Vigna angularis cultivar Jingnong 6 chromosome 9, whole genome shotgun sequence.
CUGAAGAAUCUGUAAAGCUCAGGAGGGAUAGCGCCAUGAUUUUUCACAUCAUCGUGUUCUUUGGCGCUGUCUAUCCUGAGUUUCAUGGCUUCUUCUU